rnacentral:rRNA from 1 species
AUUGAACGCUGGCGGCAUGCUUUACACAUGCAAGUCGAACGAGUGGCGAACGGGUGAGUACUAUAUCGGAACGUACCGAGUAAUGGGGGAUAACCAAUCGAAAGAUUGGCUAAUACCGCAUAUCAUUCGAGCGGCCGAUAACUGAUUAGCUAGUUGGUGGGGAAAAGGCCUACGAAGGGGACGAUCAGUAGCGGGGCGGGGAGGAGGAGCCGCAAAACUGGGACUGAGACACGGCCCAGACUCCUACGGGAGGCAGCAGUGGGGAAUUUUGGACAAUGGGGGCAACCCUGAUCCAGACAGGCCGCGUGUAUGAAGAAGGCCUUCGGGUGGUAAAGUACUUUUGUUAGGGAAGCGGUACCUAAAGAAUAAGCACCGGCUAACUACGUGCCAGCAGCCGCGGUAAUUC